CCUGGCUCAGGAUGAACGCUGGCGGCGUGCCUAAUACAUGCAAGUCGAACGCACAGCGAAAGGUGCUUGCACCUUUCAAGUGAGUGGCGAACGGGUGAGUAACACGUGGACAACCUGCCUCAAGGCUGGGGAUAACAUUUGGAAACAGAUGCUAAUACCGAAUAAAACUUAGUGUCGCAUGACACAAAGUUAAAAGGCGCUUCGGCGUCACCUAGAGAUGGAUCCGCGGUGCAUUAGUUAGUUGGUGGGGUAAAGGCCUACCAAGACAAUGAUGCAUAGCCGAGUUGAGAGACUGAUCGGCCACAUUGGGACUGAGACACGGCCCAAACUCCUACGGGAGGCUGCAGUAGGGAAUCUUCCACAAUGGGCGAAAGCCUGAUGGAGCAACGCCGCGUGUGUGAUGAAGGCUUUCGGGUCGUAAAGCACUGUUGUAUGGGAAGAACAGCUAGAAUAGGAAAUGAUUUUAGUUUGACGGUACCAUACCAGAAAGGGACGGCUAANUACGU
rnacentral:rRNA from 1 species